rnacentral:rRNA from 1 species
AUACGGAGGAUCCGAGCGUUAUCCGGAUUUAUUGGGUUUAAAGGGUGCGCAGGCGGCCAUUUAAGUCAGCGGUUAAAUCGUGGGGCUCAACCCCAUUCUGCCGUUGAUACUGGGUGGCUUGAUUGCGGUCGAGGUUGGCGGAAUUCGUUGUGUAGCGGUGAAAUGCAUAGAUAUGACGAAGAACACCGAUUGCGUAGGCAGCUGACCAGACCGCAAAUGACGCUCAUGCACGAAAGUGCGGGGAUCGAACAGGGUUAGAUACCCUGGUAGUCCGCACAGUAAACGAUGAAUACUUGUUUUCGGCGAUAUAAUGUCGGAGGCAAAGCGAAAGCGAUAAGUAUUCCACCUGGGGAGUACGCCGGCAACGGUGAAACUCAAAUGAAUUGGCGGGG